AGCAGCCGCGGUAAUUCCAGCUCCAAUAGCGUAUAUUAAAGUUGUUGCAGUUAAAAAGCUCGUAGUUGAAUUUCGGGAUCAAUACGUCGGUCGUGCUUCGGUACGUACUGGCGUAAUUGAUUUCUCCCUUCUGACGAACCAUGAUGUCAUUAACUUGGUGUCAUGGGAAAUCAGGACUGUUACUUUGAAAAAAUUAGAGUGUUUAAAGCAGGCUCACGCUUGAAUACAUUAGCAUGGAAUAAUGAAAUAGGACGUUCGAUCCUAUUUUGUUGGUUUUUAGGAUCAACGUAAUGAUUAAUAGGGAUAGUUGGGGGCAUUAGUAUUCAAUUGUCAGAGGUGAAAUUCUUGGAUUUAUUGAAGACUAACUACUGCGAAAGCAUUUGCCAAGGAUGUUUUCAUUAAUCAAGAACGAAAGUUAGGGGAUCGAAGACGAUCAGAUACCGUCGUAGUCUUAACCAU
rnacentral:rRNA from 1 species